GAUGAACGCUGGCGGCGUGCCUAAUACAUGCAAGUCGAGCGAACAGAUAAGGAGCUUGCUCCUUUGACGUUAGCGGCGGACGGGUAAGUAACACGUGGGUAACCUACCUAUAAGACUGGGAUAACUUCGGGAAACCGGAGCUAAUACCGGAUAAUAUUUCGAACCGCAUGGUUCGAUAGUGAAAGAUGGCCCUGCUAUCACUUAUAGAUGGACCUGCGUCGUAUUAGCUAGUUGGUAAGGUAACGGCUUACCAAGGCAACGAUACGUAGCCGACCUGAGAGGGUGAUCGGCCACACUGGAACUGAGACACGGUCCAGACUCCUACGGGAGGCGGCAGUAGGGAAUCUUCCGCAAUGGGCGAAAGCCUGGCGGAGCAACGCCGCGUGAGUGAUGAAGGUCUUCGGAUCGUAAAACUCUGUUAUUAGGGAAGAACAAACGUGUAAGUAACUGUGCACGUCUUGACGGUACCUAAUCAGAAAGCCACGGCUAACUACGUGCCAGCAGCCGCGGUAAUACGUAGGUGGCAAGCGUUAUCCGGAAUUAUUGGGCGUAAAGCGCGCGUAGGCGGUUUUUUAAGUCUGAUGUGAAAGCCCACGGCUCAACCGUGGAGGGUCAUUGGAAACUGGAAAACUUGAGUGCAGAAGAGGAAAGUGGAAUUCCAUGUGUAGCGGUGAAAUGCGCAGAGAUAUGGAGGAACACCAGUGGCGAAGGCGACUUUCUGGUCUGUAACUGACGCUGAUGUGCGAAAGCGUGGGGAUCAAACAGGAUUAGAUACCCUGGUAGUCCACGCCGUAAACGAUGAGUGCUAAGUGUUAGGGGGUUUCCGCCCCUUAGUGCUGCAGCUAACGCAUUAAGCACUCCGCCUGGGGAGUACGACCGCAAGGUUGAAACUCAAAGGAAUUGACGGGGACCCGCACAAGCGGUGGAGCAUGUGGUUUAAUUCGAAGCAACGCGAAGAACCUUACCAAAUCUUGACAUCCUUUGACCCUUCUAGAGAUAGAAGUUUCCCCUUCGGGGGACAAAGUGACAGGUGGUGCAUGGUUGUCGUCAGCUCGUGUCGUGAGAUGUUGGGUUAAGUCCCGCAACGAGCGCAACCCUUAAGCUUAGUUGCCAUCAUUAAGUUGGGCACUCUAAGUUGACUGCCGGUGACAAACCGGAGGAAGGUGGGGAUGACGCCAAAUCAUCAUGCCCCUUAUGAUUUGGGCUACACACGUGCUACAAUGGACAAUACAAAGGGCAGCGAAACCGCGAGGUCAAGCAAAUCCCAUAAAGUUGUUCUCAGUUCGGAUUGUAGUCUGCAACUCGACUACAUGAAGCUGGAAUCGCUAGUAAUCGUAGAUCAGCAUGCUACGGUGAAUACGUUCCCGGGUCU
rnacentral:rRNA from 1 species